CCUACGGGAGGCAGCAGUGGGGAAUAUUGGUCAAUGGGCGCAAGCCUGACCCAGCAACGUCGCGUGAAGGAUGAAUGUUCUCGGAGUUUAAACUUCUUUUUCGAGGGACGUAGAAUGACGGUACCUCGUAAGAAAGCCUCGGCUAACUACGUGCCAGCAGCCUCAGUAAUACGCAGGAGGCAAGCGUUUUCCGGAAUGACUGGGCUUAAAGGGAUUGUAGGCGGUUCAUCAAGUUAGAUGUGAAAUCUCGCGGCUUAACCGGGAAUCUGCAUCUCAACCUGGUAAGCUGGAGUGCAGGAGAGGUGGGCGGAAUUCGUAGUGUAGCGGUGAAAUGCGUAGAUAUUAGGAAGAACACCAGAGGCGAAGGCGACUCACUGGACUGUAACUGACGCUGAGGCUCGAAAGCGUGGGGAGCAAACAGGAUUAGAUACCCCUGUAGUC
rnacentral:rRNA from 1 species